CCUACGGGUGGCAGCAGUGGGGAAUAUUGCACAAUGGGGGAAACCCUGAUGCAGCGACGCCGCGUGAGUGAAGAAGUAUUUCGGUAUGUAAAGCUCUAUCAGCAGGGAAGAAAAUGACGGUACCUGCUUAAGAAGCUCCGGCUAACUACGUGCCAGCAGCCGCGGGAAUACGUAGGGGGCAAGCGUUAUCCGGAUUUACUGGGUGAAAAGGGAGCGUCGACGGCAGAACAAGUCUGGAGUGAAAUGCCGGGGCUUAACCCCGGAACGGCUUUGGAAACUGUGCAGCUAGAGUGCAGGAGAGGUAAGUGGAAUUCCUAGUGUAGCGGUGAAAUGCGUAUAUAUUAGGAGGAACACCAGUGGCGAAGGCGGCUUACUGGACUGUAACUGACGUUGAGGCUCGAAAGCGUGGGGAGCAAACAGGAUUAGAUACCCAGUAGUC
rnacentral:rRNA from 1 species